GACGAACGCUGGCGGCGUGCUUAACACAUGCAAGUCGAACGGAAAGGCCCUGCUUUUGUGGGGUGCUCGAGUGGCGAACGGGUGAGUAACACGUGAGUCACCUGCCCUUGACUUUGGGAUAACUUCAGGAAACUGGGGCUAAUACCGGAUAGGAGCUCCUGCUGCAGGGGGGGGGUUGGAAAGUUUCGGCGGUUGGGGAUGGACUCGCGGCUUAUCAGCUUGUUGGUGGGGUAGUGGCUUACCAAGGCUUUGACGGGUAGCCGGCCUGAGAGGGUGACCGGCCACAUUGGGACUGAGAUACGGCGCAGACUCCUACGGGAGGCAGCAGGGGGGAAUAUUGCACAAUGGGCGGAAGCCUGAUGCAGCAACGCCGCGUGCGGGAUGACGGCCUUCGGGUUGUAAACCGCUUUCGCCUGUGACGAAGCGUGAGUGACGGUAAUGGGUAAAGAAGCACCGGCUAACUACGUG
rnacentral:rRNA from 1 species